UACGAAGGGGGCUAGCGUUGUUCGGAAUUACUGGGCGUAAAGCGCACGUAGGCGGACAUUUAAGUCAGGGGUGAAAUCCCAGAGCUCAACUCUGGAACUGCCUUUGAUACUGGGGAAGCUCGAGUCCGGGAGAGGUGAGUGGAACUGCGAGUGUAGAGGUGAAAUUCGUAGAUAUUCGCAAGAACACCAGUGGCGAAGGCGGCUCACUGGCCCGGUACUGACGCUGAGACGCGAAAGCGUGGGAGCGAACAGG
rnacentral:rRNA from 1 species